rnacentral:lncRNA from 1 species
AUGCACGGGAGUUUCUCGCCGGCAGCUCCCAGCCGAUCUGCACGCGGGUCUGCCCGCGGAGAGGCCGCCGCGCCCCUCCCACCGCCGGCAGUGGCCGCGAGGACGCGGACCUGUUCUGGCUUGCUCUCGGAUCCACACCCUCCCCGCAGAGGGAGGCUCGCGCAGCUCCUCUCUGCGGUGGUUCUGCCCACCCACCCCACACCCACGCCGCUUAUUCCCCCUCCCUUUCCUCGAUCCCUUGGGACAGCGAGAGUUACAGGCUUAAGACUUUUAUUUCACGGUGAAAAGCAAGGGACGAAGCCCAAACUUUGUUCGCCAUUUUCUACGUCUAUGGUUAAAAGAGAAAGACUGGAACCUGACACCAGAAGGCAGCCUUCAGCCUGAAUGGAUGUUUGCUGAAGAUACCUUCUGCUGCUGCUCUGAAAUCCUCUCUUGGCUCCCAUUCUCCGGUCUGACACUCUAUUCAGCACAUUUC